CAACCAAAGCGGGGACGUUUUGGUGAAUCACAAGAAGUCAGCAGAGGUCAUAGUAAUGUUAACUGACGAAACAUGAAGGAC
rfam:Virgibacillus pantothenticus strain DSM 26 super3, whole genome shotgun sequence.